GACGAACGCUGGCGGCGUGCUUAACACAUGCAAGUCGAGCGGUAAGGCCCUUUGGGGUACACGAGCGGCGAACGGGUGAGUAACACGUGAGUAAUCUGCCUUUGGCUUGGGAAUAACUUCGGGAAAUCGGGGCUAAUGCCUGAUGUUUACUGUCUGCUGCAUGGUGGGUGGUGGAAAGAUUUUUUGGCCAGGGAUGAGCUCGCGGUCUAUCAGCUUGUUGGUGGGGUAAUGGCUUACCAAGGCUUUGACGGGUAGCCGGCCUGAGAGGGUGUUCGGCCACACUGGGACUGAGACACGGCCCAGACUCCUACGGGAGGCAGCAGUGGGGAAUAUUGCGCAAUGGGCGUAAGCCUGACGCAGCGACGCCGNGUGGGGAUGAA
rnacentral:rRNA from 1 species